rnacentral:rRNA from 1 species
AACGAACGCUGGCGGCAUGCCUAACACAUGCAAGUCGAACGAGACCUUCGGGUCUAGUGGCGCACGGGUGCGUAACGCGUGGGAACCUGCCCUUAGGUUCGGAAUAACUCCCCGAAAGGGGUGAUAAUACCGGAUAAUGUCUUCGGAUCAAAGAUUUAUCGCCUUUGGAUGGGCCCGCGUUGGAUUAGCUAGUUGGUAGGGUAAAAGCCUACCAAGGCGACGAUCCAUAGCUGGUCUGAGAGGAUGAUCAGCCACACUGGGACUGAGACACGGCCCAGACUCCUACGGGAGGCAGCAGUGGGGAAUAUUGGACAAUGGGCGAAAGCCUGAUCCAGCAAUGCCGCGUGAGUGAUGAAGGCCUUAGGGUUGUAAAGCUCUUUUACCCGGGAUGAUAAUGACAGUACCGGGAGAAUAAGCUCCGGCUAACUCCGU